rnacentral:lncRNA from 1 species
ACAAUCCAAUUAAAUGGAUUUUUUUAAAGUCCUAAGAAUAAAUAAUAAAUAAAAAAUAUAAUAGAAAAUUUAUUUUAAAGUUUCUAAAUAUAUAUAAGAGUUUCUAAAAAAUUUCAAUGUCCGGCUCGAAACCGUAACCCAUUUUAGAUUUUGAUAUAACUUAUAUUAGAAACUAUGUGCAAGCAAACUAAUUGAAAAUUGUCUUUCUUUAAUUUCCUUUUUUAAGAUAAACAUAUUGUGGAUAAUCCAAACAAUUAACCCUAAUACUAUCGGAAACAAGGAGUAGCAUAUUUGGCAAUGAGAUUAUAAUUUUUUUAAUCUUUUUAUUCUAAAAGUACCAUUUAUACUCUAGAAAGGGGCCUUGUAUCUUGGUCCUUAAACCAUAUUAUAUUGUGGUCCAACUUAAGUACAACAUGUGCGUCAGGGUUCUAAUAUGUGUUUUUUUUUUAAUUUAUGUUCAUUAAAUUUAUAUUAAAUAUUCAUUAAAUAUUAUAUUAAAUGUUUAUUAUUUAAACACUAAAAGUUGAAAAAAUAUUUGUAUUACAAUAUAAAUAUUGUAAUAUAACUUUAGCUUGAUUUUUUUUUACUAACUGCAAGGACAUUUACGUUAUAUCUAUGUUGUAUAUAUCUGUUAGAAUAGAUUAAUAAACAUGAUGUUCAUUAAUGUUGAAUAUCCAUUAACAACCUAAUAAAUAUUAUACCUAUGAAUAAUCAAUGCUUAUGCCAAUUACAAAAAUAUUUUAACAUGCAUCACAAAAACAAUAAAUCAAACUU